rnacentral:rRNA from 1 species
CCUACGGGUGGCUGCAGUGGGGAAUAUUGGACAAUGGGCGCAAGCCUGAUCCAGCCAUGCCGCGUGGGUGAAGAAGGCCUUCGGGUUGUAAAGCCCUUUUGUCCGGAAAGAAAAGUUCUGGGUUAAUAACCCAGGAUCAUGACGGUACCGGAAGAAUAAGCACCGGCUAACUUCGUGCCAGCAGCCGCGGUAAUACGAAGGGUGCAAGCGUUACUCGGAAUUACUGGGCGUAGAGCGUGCGUAGGUAUGGGAAAGCCCUGGGCUCAACCUGGGAACUGCAUUUGAUACUGGAUCACUAGAGUGCGGUAGAGGAUAGUGGAAUUCCCGGUGUAGCAGUGAAAUGCGUAGAGAUCGGGAGGAACACCAGUGGCGAAGGCGACUAUCUGGACCAGCACUGACACUGAGGCACGAAAGCGUGGGGAGCAAACAGGAUUAGAUACCCGGGUAGUC